rnacentral:rRNA from 1 species
AGCGAACGCUGGCGGCAGGCUUAACACAUGCAAGUCGAACGCCCCGCAAGGGGAGUGGCAGACGGGUGAGUAACACGUGGGAACGUACCCUUUGGUUCGGAAUAACUUGGGGAAACUCAAGCUAAUACCGGAUAAGCCCUUAUGGGGAAAGGUUUACUGCCGAAGGAUCGGCCCGCGCCUGAUUAGCUAGUUGGUGAGGUAAUGGCUCACCAAGGCGACGAUCAGUAGCUGGUCUGAGAGGAUGAUCAGCCACACUGGGACUGAGACACGGCCCAGACUCCUACGGGAGGCAGCAGUGGGGAAUUUUUGACAAUGGGCGAAAGCCUGAUCGAGCAAUGCCGCGUGAGUGAUGAAGGCCUUAGGGUUGUAAAGCUCUUUUAGUAGGGAAGAUUAUGACGGUACCUACAGAAAAAGUCCCGGCUAACUUCGUGCCAGCAGCCGCCGUAA